AUGAUGAAGAUUCUGGAACAGUGCAUGACAUGUCCAAGCCCAAGGUCUUCCCUUAGUGUGAAGCACCUGAGCUGGCGUCGAGCAAUAUCCCUUGAAUAUUAUUUCAUUGUGUUCUUUCUAGGUGUGCAACCAUAUCAGCUGCACCAAGGAGCUCCAUGCACGGGGCACGGCAGUACUACUUCCCACAAAACCUAUUAUAAACAGUGUGCUAGCUACCAGGAAUGUGCAGAUUCAUGGAAGAGCUUUGUGCAAAAAAUUAGGAGAAAGAGAAACAUAAGAGACAUUUCAGCAAGUUUACUUAUGGAGGCAAAAAAUAAUUCUACUUAUCACUGUAAUACGAGUUGUAAUAAACGAGAAAAGACGUGUGAUAUUAUCUUUUUUCUCCUGUUGCAACUCACGGGCAUUUGUGCUAGUAUAUAUUUAUUUAUUUAUUUAUUUGGUAUUUAUCAAUUUUAG
rnacentral:rRNA from 1 species